rnacentral:rRNA from 1 species
AGUGAACGCUGGCGGUAGGCCUAACACAUGCAAGUCGAACGGCAGCACAGUAAGAGCUUGCUCUUACGGGUGGCGAGUGGCGGACGGGUGAGGAAUACAUCGGAAUCUACUUUUUCGUGGGGGAUAACGUAGGGAAACUUACGCUAAUACCGCAUACGACCUACGGGUGAAAGCAGGGGAUCUUCGGACCUUGCGCGAUUGAAUGAGCCGAUGUCGGAUUAGCUAGUUGGCGGGGUAAAGGCCCACCAAGGCGACGAUCCGUAGCUGGUCUGAGAGGAUGAUCGGCCACAUUGGAACGGAGACACGUCCCAGCCUCCUACGGGAGGCACCAGUGGGGAAUAUUGGACAAUGGGCGCAAGCCUGAUCCAGCCAUACCGCGUGGGUGAAGAAGGCCUUCGGGUUGUAAAGCCCUUUUGUUGGGAAAGAAAAGCAGAAGGUUAAUACCCCGCUGUUCUGACGGUACCCAAAGAAUAAGCACCGGCUAACUUCGUG